AGUCGUAACAAGGUCUCCGUAGGUGAACCUGCGGAGGGAUCAUUACAAGAACGCCCGGGCUUCGGCCUGGUUAUUCAUAACCCUUUGUUGUCCGACUCUGUUGCCUCCGGGGCGACCCUGCCUUCGGGCGGGGGCUCCGGGUGGACACUUCAAACUCUUGCGUAACUUUGCAGUCUGAGUAAACUUAAUUAAUAAAUUAAAACUUUUAACAACGGAUCUCUUGGUUCUGGCAUCGAUGAAGAACGCAGCGAAAUGCGAUAAGUAAUGUGAAUUGCAGAAUUCAGUGAAUCAUCGAAUCUUUGAACGCACAUUGCGCCCCCUGGUAUUCCGGGGGGCAUGCCUGUUCGAGCGUCAUUUCACCACUCAAGCCUCGCUUGGUAUUGGGCAACGCGGUCCGCCGCGUGCCUCAAAUCGUCCGGCUGGGUCUUCUGCCCCCUAAGCGUUGUGGAAACUAUUCGCUAAAGGGUGUUCGGGAGGCUACGCCGUAAAACAACCCCAUUUCUAAGGUUGACCUCGGAUCAGGUAGGGAUACCCGCUGAACUUAAGCAUAUCAAUAGUAAAAGUCG
rnacentral:rRNA from 1 species